rnacentral:rRNA from 1 species
UACGAAGGGGGCUAGCGUUGUUCGGAAUUACUGGGCGUAAAGCGCGCGCAGGCGGCUAUCCAAGUCAGUGGUGAAAGCCCGGAGCUCAACUCCGGAACUGCCAUUGAAACUGUUUAGCUUGAGGAUGAGAGAGGUGAGUGGAAUUCCCAGUGUAGAGGUGAAAUUCGUAGAUAUUGGGAAGAACACCGGUGGCGAGGGCGGCUCACUGGCUCAUUACUGACGCUCAGGCGCGAUAGCGUGGGGAUCAAACAGG